rnacentral:rRNA from 1 species
GACGAACGCUGGCGGCGUGCCUAAUACAUGCAAGUUGAGCGCUGAAGGUUGGUACUUGUACCGACUGGAUGAGCGGCGAACGGGUGAGUAACGCGUGGGGAAUCUGCCUUUGAGCGGGGGACAACAUUUGGAAACGAAUGCUAAUACCGCAUAAAAACUUUAAACACAAGUUUUAAGUUUGAAAGAUGCAAUUGCAUCACUCAAAGAUGAUCCCGCGUUGUAUUAGCUAGUUGGUGAGGUAAAGGCUCACCAAGGCGAUGAUACAUAGCCGACCUGAGAGGGUGAUCGGCCACAUUGGGACUGGGACACGGCCCAAACCCCUACGGGAGGCAGCAGUAGGGAAUCUUCGGCAAUGGACGAAAGUCUGACCGAGCAACGCCGCGUGAGGGAAGAAGGUUUUCGGAUCGUAAAACUCUGUUGGUAGAGAAGAACGUUGGUGAGAGUGGAAAGCUCAUCAAGUGACGGUAACUACCCAGAAAGGGACGGCUAACUACGUG